GAUGAGAUACCUGUUCCUUUGUCCAGAUCCCAUUUUGAGGUAUCAACGGAACAAUUAAUUCCUCCUAAUCC
rfam:Equus caballus cont2.34180, whole genome shotgun sequence.